rnacentral:rRNA from 1 species
AACGAACGCUGGCGGCAUGCCUAACACAUGCAAGUCGAACGAGACCUUCGGGUCUAGUGGCGCACGGGUGCGUAACGCGUGGGAACCUGCCCUUAGGUUCGGAAUAACUCACCGAAAGGGGUGCUAAUACCGGAUAAUGUCUUCGGACCAAAGAUUUAUCGCUUUUGGAUGGGCCCGCGUUGGAUUAGCUAGUUGGUAGGGUAAAAGCCUACCAAGGCGACGAUCCAUAGCUGGUCUGAGAGGAUGAUCAGCCACACUGGGACUGAGACACGGCCCAGACUCCUACGGGAGGCAGCAGUGGGGAAUAUUGGACAAUGGGCGAAAGCCUGAUCCAGCAAUGCCGCGUGAGUGAUGAAGGCCUUAGGGUUGUAAAGCUCUUUUACCCGGGAUGAUAAUGACAGUACCGGGAGAAUAAGCUCCGGCUAACUCCGUG